rnacentral:rRNA from 1 species
UGGCGGCGUGCCUAAUACAUGCAAGUCGAACGGUCUUUCUAUGGAAGCUUGCUUCCACUGAGAAGAUAGUGGCGAACGGGUGAGUAACACGUGGGUAACCUGCCCAUAAGAGGGGGAUAACAUCCGGAAACGGGUGCUAAUACCGCAUAGUUUUCUUGAUCGCAUGAUCGGGAAAGGAAAGACGGCCUUUGUGCUGUCGCUUAUGGAUGGACCCGCGGCGUAUUAGUUAGUUGGUGAGGUAACGGCUCACCAAGACGAUGAUACGUAGCCGACCUGAGAGGGUGAUCGGCCACAUUGGGACUGAGACACGGCCCAAACUCCUACGGGAGGCAGCAGUAGGGAAUCUUCCGCAAUGGACGAAAGUCUGACGGAGCAACGCCGCGUGAGUGAAGAAAGGUUUUCGGAUCGUAAAACUCUGUUGUCAGAGAAGAACAAGUUGGAGAGUAACUGCUCCAGCCUUGACGGUAUCUGACCAGAAAGCCACGGCUAACUACGUGCCAGCCGCUGC